rnacentral:lncRNA from 1 species
GAGGGAGAGACCGAGCGAGAGAGGGAGGCCGACCCCCCCCCAUCCCCCCCCACCGCACACACAUACACACACACUCUCUGCCAGACAGCCAGGCCCAUCGAGGCCCGCAGCCCCGACCGGCUCGGCCUCCCCCGGGCCUCCCCGCCCCGGCCUCUCCCCGAUGCCCCCUCGGUAGCUCGGCUCCCGCGCCCGGCGUCGGGAGCGUUUUUCUAUGUGGGAGAAGAAGGAGGAGGAGGAGGAGGAGGAAGGAGCGACGGCGGUUCGUCUCGUCGGCGGGGCCUCCCCCCCCCCCGGCUCUACAUGUUCACGGCAGUGAGGAGGAGACGGAAGAGGAGCCUCGGCCACCCCUCCUCCUCCCGGAUUAGAGUCUCUCCGCCUGCGCCGCCACAGCGGCCUCGGCCUCUCUUGUCUCCCUUCCCCCCCAACCCGUCCUCGGCUGGGAUUCCAGGCGCCCCUUCGCCCAGGAAGAAUUACACUCUACUUCUAAGAAAAGACAUUCAAUAGAGCGGAGGUCUAAAAUGAAAAGCAUCGUGCAGGCAAAAAAGGGAAGGGGUAAGUACAGAGCCCAGAAGGGACAGGAAAGCAAAUGGAAAGAGAAGUGUAGUGCCUGUUGGCCUAACCUGCUAGAAAUAUUGUUUUUUCCACCAAUUUUGUAGCUCCAAACUACGAGUCAUUGAGUAGAACACUGUAUCCUUGCAGUGCUUGAGUUAUUAUUAUCGUAUCUAAGCGCUUACUCCGUGCCAGGCUCUGUACUCCGGUGGAUGCAAGCAAACUGGGUGAGUCCCUGUCCCACGCGGGGCUCACAUUCUCAAUCCCCAUUUUACAGAUGAGGGAACUGAGGUAUGAGGGUAACUGAAAAGUGAAGUGACUUGCCCAAGAUCACUCGGCAGACAAGUGGCAGAGCUGAGAUUAGAACCCAUGACCACUUGACUCCCAGGCUCGUGCUCUACAUUUCAUUGUCAAGAAACUGGAAAUCAAAAUUAACUCUCCGCCAAGUUUGAUGUGCAGAACACUGGACUAAGCGCUUGGGAGAGUACAAUUAGAAUUGGUAGGCAGUAGGAGCAUAUAGCCUAGAGAGAAGGCAGUCGGAAUAAAUUACAGGGAGGUAAAGGAUUGGAGUGAAAGGAUAUAGACGUAAGUCCGGUGAGCCCGAGAGGAAGGUAUCAAGUACUCGAGGAGUGCAGACCGUGGGGCAUAGGUGAUUCGAGAACUGGCAAAUCGGGGAAGUGAGGGCUUAGUCAGGGAAGACCUCUUGGAGGAAAUGUGAUUUUAGGAGGGCUUUGAAGUUAAGGAAAGUGGUGGUUUGUUGGAUAAGGGGGAGGGAGUUCAGGCCAGAAUAAUAAUAAUAAUAAUUAUGGUAUUUGUUAAGCGCUUACUAUGUGCCAGGCACUAUACUUAACACAGUGGGAUCGGGGUGGUGGGGGAUACAAGUAGAUCGGGUUGGAUACAGUCCCUGUCCCACGUGGGGGCUCAAAGUCUCAAUCCCCAUUUUGCAGAUGAGGUAACUGAGGCACAGAGGCAUAAAGUGACUUAAUAAUUAUGGUACUCAUUAAGCACUGUGUGCCAAGCACUGUUCUAAGCGCUGGGGUGGAUGCAAAGUAAUCAGGUUGUCCCACAUGGAGCUCACAGUCUUAAUCCCCAUUUUACAGUUGAGGUAACUGAGGCCCAGAGAAGUGAAGUGACUCGCCCGAGGUCACACAGCAAAGUGGCGGAGCCAGGGUUAGAACCCAUGUCCUCUGACUCCCAAGCCCGGGCUCUUUCCACUAAUAAUAAUAAUAAUAAUAAUAAUGUUGGUAUUUGUUAAGCGCUUACUAUGUGCAGAGCACUGUUCUAAACGCUGGGGUAGAUACAGGGUAAUCAGG